GGUGGCAUGCCUGGAUUAUGUGAUUCCAGGGGUCAACCCCAGGGCUUUGUGCAUGCUAGGUCGGUAGGCAUUCUACCAACUGAGCUACACCCCUCUUCCACAGUGCUUUCUUCUUUCUCAUUGAAGACAUCUUGGCACAUGUCUCUAGUGCCAGCUACACAAUCAGAUCAAUCGGUUCACUGUGAAACUAGUGCGGAAGGUUCCUGGACACACCUCUUGUGGACAGUAGCCGGGAGCUUAGCAUCCUGUAUAGCAGCAGUGGCCCUCUCACACGGUAGCACCGUGGAAUUCCCCAUACAUGAAAGCCUUGCUGUACAGCCUUAAAGCAUCUUGGCUCUCAGGCUCCAGGCUCUGACUCUCUUCAUUGGCCCAGCAAAGGCACAGUUAGACAGAAAGUGAGGAUGCCCUCCUAGGCUCCCUCUACAGUGUGCUGUGGGUAGACCCUACCCACUAGGACUUUCUGUGAUGGCAGUAUCCUAGUCUGUAUUUCCUGGUUUAGCCCUGAGUGGCCUGUAGCACUGAAGAACUAGGUACUUGGGCUUUAUUUACUCUGGUGAGUGUGCAUGCCCAUGCAUGUGAGUGUGCAGAUGCACACACGUGCACAUGUACAGGUAAGAGGGCAUUAGGUGUCCUCUAGCACUCUUUCUCAUUCCCUUGAGGCCAGGUUUCUCCCUGAGUCUGGAUCUUGCCAUCUCAGCCUCCGUGUAGUGUGCACGGUUGCAGGUUACACCACAAGCAUUCUUGCCCACCGAGUCAUCUCCUCAGCUGGAUUUUAAUUCAUUUUAACUUUAUCAGUCCCGGGUGGCUGUAGACACUAGAUGGGACAGUGCAGAGAUUGCGUUAGGUAAGCAAUGAGAGAGAACAGCGACGACGGGAAAGAGGUUUCGUUUGCUCCCUGGCAGGGAGCCGCCCAUCUCAAAGAGCAGACACACAAACUGAAAGUGGGGUGAGGAGCAGACUGUGGCAGCGUACACCUUUGGUCUCCACACUUAGAGGUGGAAGCAAGCAGUUUUCCAUGACCUGCCAAGGCUAUAUGGUGAGACCUUGUUGUCCUCAAACCAACCCCCCCACCGCCACCAAAAGAAAAAAAAAAAAAAAAACCCACAGGAAACACAGAAAGAAGGAAAGGAGCCAAAGCAGACCCAAGUCUGUGUCAGGACGCCAGGUGGCUGUGCAGCUGUUCCUAACCUUUCCGUUUGGCUCCACCAGUGCCAAACCAGCUGACAGUGACAGCCUGUGCCUUACAGGUCUAGCCGCCGGUGUGCCAGCAGGUGCCCAGAGCAGAGCCACCCACCACGUUCCUACAACACUCUUUCCUCCAUGCAGCAGUUCAAGUCCUUGGACCAUGGUAUCUACCAGACUUGUCUUGGCAAGGACUUGCACUGUGUUUGAGGGUGUUUUGAAAUGGGCUCCAUCCACACGUGCUGUCCUCAGGCCUAGCCACCUUCUUCUACAAGCAUCAUGCAGAUUGCUCUCUGUGGGCAUCGUAGACCACGCUAAGCACCGGGAGCCUUCUGGGAAGAAGGUUCUGUCAGAGAAGAAACUGAAAAGGCAUUUCGUGGAUCACCGGAGAGUGCUGGUCCGUGGAGGAAGCGGGGGCUCUGGCAUGAGCUGCUUCCACAGUGAGCCCCGCAAGGAGUUUGGAGGCCCUGAUGGUGGAGAUGGAGGAAAUGGUGGACACAUCAUCCUGAGAGUUGACCAGCAAGUCAAGUCCUUGUCCUCAGUCUUAUCCCAGUAUCAGGGCUUCAGUGGAGAAGACGGUGGCAGUAAAAACUGCUCUGGACGAGGUGGUGCCACCCUCUACAUUCAGGUCCCUGUGGGUACCUUGGUGAAAGAAGGAGACAAGAUCGUGGCUGACCUCUCUAACCUGGGAGACGAGUACGUGGCUGCUCUCGGGGGUGCAGGAGGAAAAGGCAAUCGUUUCUUCCUGGCCAACGACAACCGUGCCCCUGUAACUUGCACCCCUGGACAACCGGGUCAGGAGCGGGUCCUCUACUUGGAACUCAAGACAAUGGCUCACGCUGGGAUGGUAUGCCCCUGACAGUGCCACACCCUGAGGGUUGGCUUCCCAAAUGCUGGGAAAUCCUCUCUCCUUCGAGCCAUUUCAAAUGCAAAACCUGCUGUAGCUUCCUACCCGUUCACCACCUUGAACCCUCACGUGGGGAUCGUUCACUAUGAAGGCCACCAACAGGUAGCAGUGGCAGACAUCCCAGGCAUCAUCCGAGGUGCACACCAGAACAAGGGCCUGGGCCUCAGCUUCCUCAGGCACAUCGAGCGUUGUCGCUUCUUCCUGUUUGUGGUAGAUCUUACCUUGCCUGAGCCGUGGACUCAGGUUGAUGAUUUAAAAUAUGAACUAGAGAAGUUUGAAGAAGGCCUGUCAGAGAGGUCCCACGUGAUCAUUGCAAAUAAGAUCGAUCUCCCGCAAGCCAGAGCCCGCCUGCCUCAGCUGCAGGCCCGCCUCGGACAGGAGGCCAUAGGCCUGUCGGCGCUGACUGGGGAGAACCUGGAGCAGCUGCUUCUGCACCUGAAGGAGCUGCAUGAUGCCCACAUAGAGGCCGAGCUGGAGCAGGGCCGCCAGCCUCUCAGGUGGUAGUGGGCACAGGGCCGUGUGCCCCAGGGCCAGCGUGGAACGGGGGUGGGCCAUCAAUCACAGGAAGCAAAAGCAACCUUUUGUAAACUGCGGGCCCUUUGAACUCCCGAGACUAAGUACUUGCAAAUAUA